ACGAGUAGUCAUUAUGUAUGGUUAUCAUGUAUAAUACAUGUAAUAUAGAUGUUUAUACUUUACAAACACACAUUUUGUUCCUGUAGUUCUCAAAAUCCAUAUACAGUAGACAAACCAGUUUAAAAACUAUAGGUUUACCAAACGGUUAAGUGAUGCACCAAAAUCAAAUCAAAAUCAAAUGUAUUUAUUUAUAUAGACCUUCUUACAUCAGCUGAUAUCUCAAAGUGCUGUACAGAAACCCAGCCUAAAACCCCAAACAGCAAGCAAUGCAGGUGUAGAAGCACGGUGGCUAGGAAAAACUCCCUAGAAAGGCCAAAACCUUGGAAGAAACCUAGAGAGGAACCAGGCUAUGAGGGGUGAGUCCUCUUCUGCCUGUGCCGGGUGGAGAUUAUAACAGAACAUGGCCAAGAUGUUCAAAUGUUCAUAAAUGACCGGCAUGGUAAAAUAAUAAUAAUCACAGUAGUUGUCGAGGGUGCAACAGGUCAGCACCUCAGAAGUAAAUGUCAGCUGGCUUUUCAUAGCCGAUCAUUGAGAGUAUCUCUACCGCUCCUGCUGUCUCUAGAGAGUUGAAAACAGCAGAUCUGGGACAGGUAGCACGUCCGGUGAACAGGUCAGGGUUCCAUAGCCGCAGGCAGAACAGUUGAAACUGGAGCAGCAGCACGGCCAGGUGGACUGGGGACAGCAAGGAGUCAUCAUGCCAGGUAGUCCUGAGGCAUGGUCCUAGGGCUCAGGUCCCCCAAGAGAAAGAAAUCAAGAAUUAGAGAGAGCAUACUUAAAUUCACACAGGACACUGGAGAAAUACUCCAGAUAUAACAGACUGACCCUAGCCCCCCGACACAAACUACUGCAGCACAAAUACUGGAGGCUGAGACAGGAGGGGUCAGGAGACACUGUGGCCCCAUCCGAUGAUAUCCCCGGACAGGGCCAAACAGGCAGGAUAUAACCCCACCCACUUUGCCAAAGCACAGCCCCCACACCACUAGAGGGGUACCUUCAACCACUAACUUAGCAUCCUGAGACAAGGCAGAGUAUAGCCCACAAAGAUCUCUGCCACGGCACAACCCAAGGGGGGGGGGGGCCAACCCAGACAGGAAGACCACGUCAGUGACUCUUCCCAUUCAAGUGACGCACCCCUUCUAGGGACGGCAUGGAAGAGCACCAGUAAGCCAGUGACUCAGCCCCUGUAAUAGGGUUAGAGGCAGAGAAUCCCAGUGGAGAGAGGGGAACCGGCCAGGCGGAGACAGCAAGGGUGGUUCGUUGCUCCAGUGCCUUUGCGUUCACCUUCACACUCCUGGACCAGACUACACUCAAUCAUAGGACCUACUGAAGAGAUGAGUCUUCAAUAAAGACUUAAAGGUUGAGACCGAGUCUGCGUCUCUCACAUGGGUAGGCAGACCAUUCCAUAAAAAUGGAGCGCUAUAGGAGAAAGCCCUGCCUCCAGCUGUUUGCUUAGAAAUUCUAGGGACAAUUAGGAGGCCUGCGUCUUGUGACCGUAGCGUAGGUGUAGGUAUGUACGGCAGGACCAAAUCGGAAAGAUAGGUAGGAGCAAGCCCAUGUAAUGCUUUGUAGGUUAGCAGUAAAACCUUGAAAUCGGCCCUUGCCUUAACAGGAAGCCAGUGUACGGAGGCUAGCACUGGAGUAAUAUGAUCACAUUUUUUGGUUCUAGUCAGGAUUCUAGCAGCCGUAUUUAGCACUAACUGAAGUUUAUUUAGUGCUUUAUCCGGGUAGCCGGAAAGUAGAGCAUUGCAGUAGUCUAACCUAGAAGUAACAAAAUCAUGGGUACAUUUUUCUGCAUCAAUUUUGGACAGAAAAUGUCUGAUCUUUGCAAUGUUACGCAGAUGGAAAAAAGCCGUCCUUGAAAUAAUCUUGAUAUGUUCGUCAAAAGAGAGAUCAGGGUCCAGAGUAACGCCGAGGUCCUUCAGUUUUAUUUGAGACGACUGUACAACCAUCAAGAUUAAUUGUCAGAUUCAACAGAAGAUCUCUUUGUUUCUUGGGACCUAGAACAAGCAUCUCUGUUUUGUCAGAGUUGAAAAGUAGAAAGUUUGCAGCCAUCCACUUCCUUAUGUCUGAAACACCGGCUUCCAGCGAGUGCAAUUUUGGGGCUUCACCAUGUUUCAUUGAAAUGAACAGCUGUGUGUCAUCCGCAUAGCAGUGAAAGUUAACAUUAUGUUUUCGAAUGACAUCCCCAAGAGGUAAAAUAUAUAGUGAAAACAAUAGUGGUCCUAAAACGGAACCUUGAGGAACACCGAAAUUUACAGUUGAUUUGUCAGAGGACAAACCAUUCACAGAGACAAACUGAUAUCUUUCCGACAGAUAAGAUCUAAACCAGGCCAGAACUUGUCCGUGUAGACCAAUUUGGGUUUCCAAUCUCUCCAAAAGAAUGUGGUGAUCGAUGGUAUCAAAAGCAGCACUAAGGUCUAGGAGCACGAGGACAGAUGCAGAGCCUCGGUCUGACGCCAUUAAAAGGUAAUUUACCACCUUCACAAGUGCAGUCUCAGUGCUAUGAUGGGGUCUAAAACCAGACUGAAGCAUUUCGUAUACAUUGUUUGUCUUCAGGAAGGCAGUGAGUUGCUGCGCAACAGCUUUUUGUAAAAUUUUUGAGAGGAAUGGAAGAUUCGAUAUAGGCCGAUUUUUAGUUUUUUAUAUUUUCUGGGUCAAGGUUUGGCUUUUUCAAGAGAGGCUUUAUUACUGCCACUUUUAGUGAGUUUGGUACACAUCCGGUGGCUAGAGAGCCGUUUAUUGUGUUCAACAUAGGAGGCCCAAGCACAGGAAGCAGCUCUUUCAGUAGUUUAGUUGGAAUAGGGUCCAGUAUGCAGCUUCAAGGUUUAGAGGCCAUGAUUUAUUUUCAUUAUUGUGUCAAGAGAUAUAGUACUAAAACACUUGAGUGUCUUCCUUGAUCCUAGGUCCUGGCAGAGUUGUGCAGACUCAGGACAACUGAGAUUUAGAGGAAUACGCAGAUUUAAAGAGGAGUCCAUAAUUUGCUUUCUAAUGAUCAUGAUCUUUUCCUCAAAGAAGUUCAUGAAUUUAUUACUGCUAUAGUGAAAGCGAUCCUCUUUUGGGGAAUGCUGCUUUUUAGUUAGCUUUGCGACAGUAUCAAAAAUAAAUUUCGGAUUGUUCUUAUUUUCCUCAAUUAGGUUGGAUAAAUAGGAUGAUCGAGCAGCAGUGAGGGCUCCUCGAUACUGCACGGAACCGUCUUUCCAAGCUAGUCGGAAGACUUCCAGUUUGGUGUGGCGCCAUUUCCGUUCCAAUUUUCUGGAAGCUUGCUUCAGAGCUCGGGUAUUUUCUGUAUACCAGGGAGCUAGUUUCUUAUGACAAAUGUUUUUAGUUUUUACGGGUGCAACUGCAUCUAGGGUAUUGCGCAAGGUUAAAUUGAGUUCCUCAGUUAUGUGGUUAACUGAUAUUUGUCCUUCGACAUCCUUGGGUAGGCAGAGGGAGUCUGGAAGGGCAUCAAGGAAUCUUUGGGUUGUCUGAGAAUUUAUAGCCCGACUUUUGAUGCUCCUUGGUUGGGGUCUGAGCAGAUGAUUUGUUGCGAUUGCAAACGUAUUAAAAUGGUGGUCCGAUAGUCCAGGAUUAUGAGGAAAAAUAUUAAGAUCCACAACAUUUAUUCCAUGGGACAAAACUAGGUCCAGAGUAUGACUGUGGCAGUGAGUAGGUCUGGAGUCAUGUUGGACAAAACCCACUGAGUCGAUGAUGGCUCCAAAAGCCUUUUGGAGUGGGUCUGUGGACUUUUCCAAGUGAAUAUUAAAGUCACCAAAAAUUUGAAUAUUAUCUGCUAUGACUACAUGGUCCGAUAGGAAUUCAGGGAACUCAGUGAGGAACGCUGUAUAUGGCCCAGGAGGCCUGUAAACAGUAGCUAUAAAAAGUGAUCGAGUAGGCUGCAUAGAUUUCAUUACUAUAAGCUCAAAAGACGAAAACUUCGGGGGGGGUUUUGUAAAUUGAAAUUUGCAAUCGUAAAUGUUAGCAACGCCUCUGCCUUUGCGGGAUGUGCGGGGGAUAUGGUCAGUAGUGUAACCAGGAGGUGAGGCCUCAUUUAACACAGUAAAUUCAUCAGGCUUAAGCCAUGUUUCAGUCAGGCCAAUCACAUCAAGAUUAUGAUCAGUGACUAUAACUGCCUUGGAAGUGAGGGAUCUAACAUUAAGUAGACCUAUUUUGAGAUGUGAGGUAUCACGAUCUCUUUCAAUGAUGGCAGGAAUGGAGGAGGUCUUUAUUCUAGUGAGAUUGUUAAAGCGAACACCGCCAUGUUUAGUUUUGCCCAACCUAGGUCGAGGCACAGACAUGGUCUCAAUGGGGAUAGCUGAGCUGACUACACUGUGCUAGUGGCAGACUCCACUAAGCUGGCAGGCUGGCUAACAUAGCUGAAGCUAUGUUGCGCUUGGUGACCUCUGACUGUUUCAUCCUAACAUCUUUGGUGCCGACGUGGAUAACAAUAUCCCUAUACUCUACACUCGCCAGUUUUAGUUUUAGCCAGCACCAUCUUCAGAUUAGCCUCAAGGUCCGUAGCCCUGCCCCCUGGUAAACAGUGUAUGAUCGCUGGAUGAUUCGUUUUAAAUCUAAUACUGCGGGUAAUGGAGUCGCCAAUGACUAGGGUUUUCAAUUUGUCAGAGAUAAUGGUGGGAGCCUUCGGCGUCUCAGACCCCGUAACGGGAGGAGUAGAGACCAGAGACGGCUCGGCCUAAGACUAAGACUCGCUGCUUAAUGGGGAGAACCGGUUGAAAGUUUCUGUCUGCUGAAUGAGCGACACCGGUUGAGCAUUCCUACAGCAUUUCCCUCCAGAAGCCAUGAGAAAAUUGUCCGGCUGCGGGGACCGUGCGAAGGGAUUUAUACUACUAUCUGUACUUACUGGUGGCACAGACACUGUUUCACUGAAAAAUGACACUGAAAUUACCCUUGCCUAACGAUUGCGUCUGAAGCUGGGCUUGCAGGACAGCUAUCCUCGCCAUAAGGCGAUCGUUCUCCUGUAUAUUAUGAGUACAGCGACUGCAAUUAGAAGGCAUCAUGUUAAUGUUACUACUUAGCGUCGGCUGGUGGAGGUCUUGACGAACCAUGUCCAGAUAAAGCGUCCAGAGUGAAAAAGUUGAGUGAGGGAAAAACUAAAAAUAUAAACGGUAAUUAAAAAGUAAAAACCGUAAAGUUGUCAGGUAGCAAAGUAAGGUUAGCAACAAAACGCACAGCAGCACGUAAACAAGUCUGCAAAUUGUGAGCGCAGUUGGAUUAAGUGACGGUCAAAUGUAUUUAAAGAAAUGAGAAGAGAAUCAGAGCAUUGCAUUGUGGAAGACAAUUACUUUAUAUGAAAGGUAUUUCUAGAUGAAACACUGAUUAGGUUUUGUGAAAAAGUUACUGUGUGAUUUUGUGUGUUGUACUUAGUCAAUUGAAAAUGUGCCUUAAAGUUUUGAAAAAACAUCAUUUUGAUUAUCUGUUUUGAGUUUUCUACUAAGAGUUGUGAAAUUGUACCACAUACUUGUGAAAAUAGUACCAAAGCGAUUUUGAUGGGGGUUUUUUUAAAUUAUGUGACUAUCAUUUAAUUCAAUAGCAAAAAAUACAAGAUACAAAUGUCAAAACUGUUUUAAGUGGUGAAUUGAAAGAAUAGUAGAUGAUAAAUAUUAUUUUCCAUACGGUAUUUGACUAUAACUUGACAUGCACAAUUUUCUUUAUAAUUUGUAUCUAAUGGCAGGUUGUGAGCAUGUUGAGAAAUACAGUGCGUUCGGAAAAUAUGCAGACCCCUCCCCUUUUUCCACUUUUUGUUACGUUACAGCCUUAUUCUAAAAUGGUUUCAAUAACAUUUUAAUUUAAAUGAUCACCAAACUACACGAAAUACCCCAUAAUGACAAAG
rnacentral:lncRNA from 1 species